GAGGUGAGGUGGAUGGGGCAGGGGUGAGGUGGACAGGAUACAAGUAAGGUGAUGGGGUGCAGGUGAGGUGUCAGACGAGCAGAGCACAGCUGAGUCUAUGCUAGAGCCCCCUGGACUGGGCAUGGGCUGCCUCGGAAUGGCUUGCAAACACCUCUGCCUGGCACUCACCCUCUGAGCUGAAUGGUCCUUCUUCGCCUUAAGGAAACUGAGCAAAGCGAGCAGAGUGCCUCCACACCGGGAGAGACACGUAGGGCGCCUUCUAGCUCCUACUCUAGUGAAGACCUCACCCAGUUCCGAAGGGGACAGUGCUGAAGGUGGCCCAGGUAGAACAAGCAACAAAGGAGGGGCUUUCCUUGGCUGGGCGCACUUCAUGGCGGACACACUGGACGGGGCCACGCCUUCCGCCUUUUGCCGUCCUUUGCUUCCUCCUCCUGCUCAAAGCAGUUCUGGCCCCUGAAUUUCAAGGAUUCCAACUGCUCAUCUUCUGAAGAGUCAGCCUGAGGAGGAUGCUUAUGCGUAUCCUGCCCCCUGGGAGUGCCUCUGCCCUUCCUGCCUUAGGACAUGGACUGGUCAGUUUGUACCUUGGGGCCUCCUGAUGCUACCUGAGCAGAAAGGUGUAUAAGGUACUUUUCUUGUUGCUGUGAAAAAAAAAAUCUUAGACGAAAGCACCUUGCAGAAGAGUGUGUUUCUUUGGGUCACGGCUGGAGGGUGUGAUCGAUCAUGAUCAUACCAUGGUGAGGAAACCCUGGAUGCAGAGCUGUCUGUAUUCUGUCCACUGCCAGGAUGCAGGCGGGCUGGAUGCUGGCAUCCCACCCUCUCUCUCCCUUUUAUUCAUUCCAGGACCCUAAGCUGUGGGAUGUGGCUGUCCACAUUCAGGGUGGGUUUUCUCUUCUCAAUUAAACUUUCCCAGAAACACUCU
rnacentral:lncRNA from 1 species